ACAGAGAUGAAUUUCCAAUUUCGUCAGUCCGUUAACUGAGAGGAUUCUAUCAAACGUCGGAAAAAGCUUUUGCUAUCAUUGCGAACAUGAAUCUUUUACACAAUGUCUAAUGGUAAAAGCAGUCGUGUUAUAGCAUAUUCAGUUAAAAUCUGGAGACACAACACUUGUUCUCAUGCGUCUAUUUUAAUCAUCAGGGAAUCCGAGGAACCUGUCGAUAAUGCGGGCAACAGGUGCUCCGUCCCCUGGAGUAUAUCGAACCAGAGACUCCAGAUCCAUUUUCAUUAAGGCUUGGUGAAGCGUGUGAGGACGAGUGUAGUACAAAUGCUUCCUCUCUUCUAGUGCUU
rnacentral:lncRNA from 1 species